rnacentral:rRNA from 2 species
GGAUGCGAUCAUACCAGCACUAAAGCACCGGAUCCCAUCAGAACUCCGAAGUUAAGCGGGCUUGGGCGAGAGUAGUACUAGGAUGGGUGACCUCCUGGGAAGUCCUCGUGUUGCAUUCC